UUUCUCUCUCUCAUCUGCUUUUCCUGUAACACCCAGCUUUUUCUCUCUUCUCUUUUCUCUCUCCUCAUUCCGCCACCAACCCAUCAGAGGUUUCCCUCAUUCGACAAAUCUAACAAAUUUUCAGGUUCUUUUGUUUUCUUCUCUUUAAUGCUCUAUUCCUUCCCUCCGAUUCCUAACCGCAUCUCACCUAUUCGAUUAGGGUCGCCAUUGAGUCUCACUCUCCCUCUGCUAAGAAUAACAAGGAGCGGCAGGAGAAGCUUCUCGUCGUUGUCCUCAGAGCCUCAACGAUGGCAUCAACACUAUCAUUCGCAGACAAGAAACCCUACGCUUCCCUUUCUCCCCAACCUCUUUCGAAGGUUCCCCUCCACCACUCCCACCUCCACACGCUCCUCCUCCAACUCUCACCCACCUCGCAUUAACCCCUUAAGGCUAGGGACUCCUCUCCUCUGUAUUUUGAGAUCACAGAUCCAACCACUGCUCCGUCUAUUCAUUCACCGCCGGUGACCGCCAUUGCAAUACCCUCUAUCGGAGACGAGGAACGCAGGGGUCCGAAUCCUAGGGUUUCGAAACUCGAUCAGCCUUCCAGGGCUGAUGAGGUGGACAAUUGGGCCUCCGUGAAGAAAUUUGUCCCCGCGUUUUGGUGGUUUUGGUGGCGCGGUGGCAGUGGUUUUGGUGGUGCGUUUAAGGCUGAUGGUUUGGAUAAUUGGGUGAUUGGAUAUACAGCCCUGAUUAACAAAAUUAACAAGUCCAUAGUGGCUUCAUUGCCAACAAAAUGUUCUGGUGCAUUGUAAGUCUUUGUUCUUUUGUCAUUUAGUUGCUAUGGCUUAUACUUUUAGUUAUUAAAUUGCUCUGCCCUGUCUUAAUGUUGUUAAAUGUGGAACUUUUGUUGACCUAAUGCCUAAAAUUGUCGUAACUUACAGCUUUAGGCAAGGAAAAGCUCACCGAAAGUGAGGUUUCUUGUAAAUUUAUUGCAAUCAAUCAGUUAUAUUAUGAACUGUACUAUUGUUCUAACAAAUAUUUUAUUUCUGCAGAUAGGUAUCUUGAUGAGUAAGGAAGUGCUUAAACGUUUGUAAAAUUUUAAAUAUGUCUUCAGAAAUCUAAACUUCGUAGUAUGUGAUUCUGCAUUAUCAGAAUGAGAUUUAAUUUGUUUGGAUAGAGUGAGUAAAUUGUGAAAAUACUUGUCAGGUUUUCAGUGCAUUCAACUUGAAAGGUCAAAUGAUCAUAGAACUAGUCGUAUUGAUCUAAAACCAGUAAAGAAUAUUUAUUAUCUUGUAUCUUUGAUAAAGAAUAUUUAUUAUCAAGGAUUUUAAUUAAAAUCUUUGAUAAUAUAAAUCAAAGAUUUGCUAAACUUUCUAUUGGAGACAACCACGAUUUGAAGUUGGGAAGUAUGUUGAGAAGAUUGGUUUGUGUGUGCAUGACAGGGAACAGAGGAUUCUGCAGUGCAAAGAGAAGCAUGGCUGGUGCAUUAAAAAAGUGUAUGAUGCUCUGUUGCACGAGCAAGAUUGUCUCGAAUCCCUACGUUGGCUUGAGCGGGUGGAGAAGUCGAGGACAAGUUGGAGCAUCUCAUUGCAAUGGGGUCAUUGGGAACAACAUACUCCGAUGUGUCUACUAUGAACUUUAUGAAUCAAAUAUUUUUAAUAUUUUAAUUUAGUAUUGAACAUCUUUCUUUUUAAUUUUUAUAU